GAGUACAAAGAUAGGUUAUGACCACAUAGAACCUUGGAGUAGUGUGGGCUGGCAGGGCUGGAAGUGUGGGGCCGAGGUCAGAGUCUCAGACUAAGGGUAUAAUCUGGUACCAGUGGGUUUGGAAAAGGGAGAUGACAGCAGGAGGAAAAGGAGGUCCAGGGUUCCCCCAAGCCCACUGCAUGCUGAGCUCAAGAAGACAAAUCCUAGAUUCAUCAGAUCUUGUUGGGUCUGGGGUAGGGUGCUUCUGAGCCUGCUUGGAGUGGGCUCAUUACAUGGUCUGGCAGGUUCUUCCUUCUCUACUUCCCUCCACAAGUACUUGUUUUCUUCAAGUAUUUUCUUAUUUAAUCCCCACACUACCUUUAACGGUGAUAUCCUUUUCAUUUAAUAAACACAGAUAUAGAACUGACCAUGUGCCAGGCACUGUUCUUAGCACUUUACAAAUAUUAAUGGAUUUGAUGUUUGUAAUGGCACCAUAAAGUCGAUAGGUACUUUUAUCCUGUUUUACAGUUGAGGAAAUGGAAACAUGGGGAUUGAAGUUACAUAGCUAGCAGAAAUUCUUCAUCUUUAAGCCACCUUAAGGAGAGAGAUGUCAUCCUCAAGCUCUCUCAUCUGCUUCUCUGGCAAAUACUUGGCUUGUCUCUACCCAACUCUCCUCCAGUAGGAAGAAAGCACAACUCUAUCCCUAGAAGUGAGUGGAAUAUUUAUUUGGCUUCCAGCUGUAUCUUCUUGCCUUUGUCCUAUGGUUGCCUUCACCUGGUUUGUGGUCUUCAACAAUUCAUCUUUGCCAUCACUUUGACAACAGCAACUCUGAAGACAGCUUCUUCGACUGCCUCCAGCCCUCCAGGCACCUACUAGGUGCCUCCAUAGCUCACAACACAUUUUGUGAAUGCUGAGGACAUUGUGUCACUUAAUUCUCACAACAAUUCUAUGAGAAAGAUCUUAUCAUCUCCAUACUGUAGAUAAGAAAAAUGAGGCUCAACAAAAUUAAAGAACUUGCCCAAGAUCACCCAGUUAUCACAUAGCAGAGCUGGGAUUUGAACCUGUAUCUGACUCUGAAGACCAAGCCGGGUUUUUCUUUUUUCUGUUCUCUUUAUUUUAUUGCAUUAGAAAUUUAUUUCCUUCACAUAUACAGAAUAUAAAAC